rnacentral:rRNA from 1 species
GACGAACGCUGGCGGCGCGCUUAACACAUGCAAGUCGAACGAUGAAGCCGGAGCUUGCUCUGGUGAAUUAGUGGCGAACGGGUGAGUAACACGUGAGUAACCUGCCCUUGACUCUGGGAUAACUGCUAGAAAUGGUAGCUAAUACCGGAUACGACCCUCGGAGGCAUCUUCAGGGGGUGGAAAGAAUUUCGGUCAAGGAUGGACUCGCGGCCUAUCAGCUAGUUGGUGAGGUAAUGGCUCACCAAGGCGACGACGGGUAGCCGGCCUGAGAGGGUGACCGGCCACACUGGGACUGAGACACGGCCCAGACUCCUACGGGAGGCAGCAGUGGGGAAUAUUGCACAAUGGGCGCAAGCCUGAUGCAGCAACGCCGCGUGAGGGAUGACGGCCUUCGGGUUGUAAACCUCUUUUAGUAGGGAAGAAGCGAAAGUGACGGUACCUGCAGAAAAAGCACCGGCUAACUACGUGCCAGCCGCCCGCCGUAA